rnacentral:rRNA from 1 species
AACGAACGCUGGCGGCAGGCUUAACACAUGCAAGUCGAACGCAUCCUUCGGGGUGAGUGGCAGACGGGUGAGUAACGCGUGGGAACGUGCCCUUCAGUUCGGGAUAACCCAGGGAAACUUGGGCUAAUACCGGAUACGUGCGAGAGCAGAAAGAUUUAUCGCCGAAGGAUCGGCCCGCGUCUGAUUAGCUAGUUGGUGGGGUAAUGGCACACCAAGGCGACGAUCAGUAGCUGGUCUGAGAGGAUGAUCAGCCACAUUGGGACUGAGACACGGCCCAAACUCCUAAGGGAGGCAGCAGGGGGGAAUAUUGGACAAUGGGCGCAAGCCUGAUCCAGCCAUGCCGCGUGAGUGAUGAAGGCCUUAGGGUUGUAAAGCUCUUUCGUCCGGGACGAUAAUGACGGUACCGGAAGAAGAAGCCCCGGCUAACUUCGUGCCAGCCGCCGCCGUAA